GCUUGCAGAUUUAUCUAUGUGCGUAUAAAUACCAUAGUACACUCUAGUGCCAUGCUGGGGAUGGCAACUGUUGAUGGUCCUUAAGUAUCAAAUUUAAUUAUCAAAUAAACAAAGAAAAGGAUUGAAAUCAAAUCAACAUCUGGACUUAGGGUUUUAUCUGACAGAAUUCCACAAGUUUUGGUGUUUGUCUAUUUCUACAGGGGGUUAUCAGGAAAUACGGAAGAAAGACCCAC
rnacentral:lncRNA from 1 species